CCUACGGGGGCAGCAGUGGGGAAUAUUUCACAAUGGGGGAAACCCUGAUGCAUCGACGCCGCGUGAGUGAAGUAGUAAUUCGCUAUGUAAAGCUCUAUCAGCAGGGAAGAAAAUGACGGUACCUGAGUAAGAAGCCCCGGCUAACUACGUGCCAGCAGCCGCGGUAAUACGUAGGGGGCAAGUGUUAUCCGGAUUUACUGGGGGCAAAGGGAGCGUAGACGGCAGUGCAAGUCUGGAGUGAAAGGCGGGGGCUCAACCCCCGGACUGCUCUGGAAACUGUACGGCUGGAGUGCAGGAGAGGUAAGUGGAAUUCCUGGUGUAGCAGUGAAAUGCGUAGAUAUUAGGAGGAACACCAGGGGCGAAGGCGGGUUACUGGACUGUAACUGACGUUGAGGCACGAAGGCGUGGGGAGCGAACGGGAUUAGAUACCCCAGUAGUC
rnacentral:rRNA from 1 species